GACGGACGCUGGCGGCGUGCCUAAUACAUGCAAGUAGAACGCUGAAGGAGGAGCUUGCUUCUCUGGAUGAGUUGCGAACGGGUGAGUAACGCGUAGGUAACCUGCCUGGUAGCGGGGGAUAACUAUUGGAAACGAUAGCUAAUACCGCAUAAUAGUAGAUGUUGCAUGACAUUUGCUUAAAAGGUGCAAUUUCAUCACUACCAGAUGGACCUGCGUUGUAUUAGCUAGUUGGUGGGGUAACGGCUCACCAAGGCGACGAUACAUAGCCGACCUGAGAGGGUGAUCGGCCACACUGGGACUGAGACACGGCCCAGACUCCUACGGGAGGCAGCAGUAGGGAAUCUUCGGCAAUGGACGGAAGUCUGACCGAGCAACGCCGCGUGAGUGAAGAAGGUUUUCGGAUCGUAAAGCUCUGUUGUAAGAGAAGAACGAGUGUGAGAGUGGAAAGUUCACACUGUGACGGUAUCUAACCAGAAAGGGACGGCUAACUACGUG
rnacentral:rRNA from 1 species